rnacentral:tRNA from 1 species
GCCCCCGUGGCCUAAUGGUCAAGGCGUGAGCCUUCUAUGGAGAACAGCUUAAGAUUGCGGGGUAUGUUGUCCUGCGCUGUGCGUUUUACCGUGACCUAGAACUAACCUGUCCGCAGUUCGAGUCCCGCCGGGGGUU